UAACGUAGAAUAACGAGGAUGUGUGCAACAAAAUUUGUUUGUACGUCACGUGGAUACCGUAUACUGUACACGAUGGAUUCCCUGUGCUCGUCGUGUAUUGAUUUCAAUUGGUCAGGAAUAUGGUGAUAGAUGAGCCAUUCAGAUGGAUAUAAGGAUCCGGUGUGCUCGGGCGUAGAAUCAAGUUGGAAUGUUUUUGCACACGUUCUCACCACUGGCUUCUUGCUUCGUCACGGAUAAUUCAAUCCGGACAAUGGUCGAGUAAUUAGCGGUUAUAUUGGUCAAACAUGUGUUACAGCGAAUAGUGGCAUUUUUUUCAAUUAUGGAAAUCGUUUACGAUAACAGUGAAAAAUUGUUCUAUCAUUUUACAUGAAAAAAGAAACGAAGAAAGAAGAAGCCUUGUGGAAAUGAUAAAUAGAGGACAUAACGAGAUUACAGUGGUACAUAAUAGAAGUAUGUAAUGAUUCGAAAACGUACUUGAGUUGGAACCUUCUGUAUCCAUAGGCGGCGGGGGGUCAUCAAGUGGCCUGUGCAUGGUAUCUUCCGCCUGAGUAGACGGGAUGCUGCAAAAGAAAAGGAAAAUGGAAACGACGUGUUGUUAUUAAAUAUCGAUCCAUGCCAGUCCUGGUGUCUCCUAACGAGACACGUCGUUAGCGUCGUGUUAUUUUUCCAAGGAUUAAUUUUCCGUGAACGUGAUGAAGCGAGAACGCGGGUUUCCUUAAUAAAGCGGCAAAUUGCGGGGUUUAAUAGCUCGCGUAAUUGAUGGAAACGCGACGAUCCAUAUAACGAGACGUGGAAGCGGCCCCCGAGCUGUAAUUCGCCUAACCAGUCUAACAGUCCUCUUCUUCGAUUAAACAAUAAUAUGUAAAUGAAUUGAAUCUGAAUUUCUGAUUGUUGUUGAUUUAUCGAUUUUAUCUAUUUUAAAGAGGUAAUGUAUAUUCGAAAAUGUACCACUGGUGGAACAGAUAUUGUGGGGUUAUGAAUUGAAGCGAUGCUUGUUAACAUCGACUGAUAUACAUACGUAGAUGAAUUUAGGGUCACAGGUCGUUUACGCGUGUAAUAAAAUAUAUUUAUAAUGAUAUAUGAAAUUUGUCUGCGAUAGCUAUAUUAUAAAUUACUUAUACAAUUUUUGUAUACAAAAUUUUGUUUUCAUUUUCUUAUACCAUUCGAAAAUAUUCAAUUAUCACAUUUCAUGUGUCUUAUACAGCACAUCUUUUUCUUUAAUGUAAUGAAGAAGCAGAGCUCUUUUUUCUGGAGACAUACUCGACAGACAUAAUUAACUCGAAGAUAAAGAAUUGGAAAGAUCGUCGAGUAUCAAAGCGAAGUACUGAGAAUUUUUAACGAAUUCGAAAUAAGUCGCAGACAAUUCAACGGUGAUCAUUAACGAAAUACUUGAACUGGCUUUUUCGUAUAACGAUAAUACUUAUUUCAAUUUUCAGUCACCCGUUUCCUUUUAUAGAAUACGAGGAACAGAGCAUAGGGUCGUUAUAUUGGAGGACGUUCAAACUGUGGCUGAACCACAAAUAAGAAAACAGAAGAAAGAAGAUACAACUACGUGGAACGACUGUAAAAUAUAUGAGCUCCCUUUGUUCGAUAAUAAAUUAAAUUUAGGCCAGUUAA